rnacentral:lncRNA from 1 species
GCAAUAAACAUUAGAAGUAAGAAUUUCGUCCGCAUAAUCUAACAGCGACUAAGGUACAGUAAAGAACCAAUACGAAAAAAUCCAUAUGAACUACAUAAAUAUUAAAGGGAGAAAUCAUUAAAAUAGAAAUGAACCUGAAAUUUAUAAGAACUGAAAUGAUUCAACAAUUACAGCCGGACAUUGUUGCGGCUUCAAACAAAAUCGGCACGAAAUCCAUUUGUGUGGAAAUCAGAAAAUUGAUGCAAACAGGACUCAGAUCGGCACCUCGACUUCGAUUUCAAAACUCAAACAAUCUCCAUCUUGAAAAAUCACAAUUGAAAUAAGAGGAGAAGCAGCACCACGUUUUUCAUUUAUUUUUGGUGUUCUUCUGAUUCUGAAUCAAAAUUUCUUGUGUCUGUUUAUCGCGGCAGGAGCGUCAAUCCGGCGAGUUUGUCACUAUUUCUCCUGGGUUUCCGACGAGCUAUGGUGGUAAAUGGAGGAGUUGAGGCCAAAGAGAGGGAUGGGUCGUUUGGAGAAGACGAAGUCAGGGGGUGGGGGUCUGUUCUGCGCAGCUGCCCUCAUCUCCUUCUUCAGGCGUCCCUUUUGUGUGUAUAGGCGUGUGUAUGUAUUCUUCAGAAGAAGCCCGUUGCCUUCCUUGCUGAAGAAUUUUUUAGGCGUCUUCGUGCAUCAGUAUAGAAGACGCCAAAGCUGCCAACCCUCUCCCAAUUUUCCAGGCACGUAUUCUUUUGUGUUCUGUAUCUAUACCUGUGUAUUGUAGCGUGUGUUUUUGUGAAGAAGCAGCCCCCUGCGCAGCCCCGCUCUCAAUGCC